rnacentral:rRNA from 1 species
CAGCAGCCGCGGUAAUACGAAGGGUGCAAGCGUUGUCCGGAAUUAUUGGGCGUAAAGGGCUCGCAGGCGGUUUCUUAAGUCUGAUGUGAAAGCCCCCGGCUCAACCGGGGAGGGUCAUUGGAAACUGGGAAACUUGAGUGCGGAAGAGGAGAGUGGAAUUCCACGUGUAGCGGUGAAAUGCGUAGAGAUGUGGAGGAACACCAGUGGCGAAGGCGACUCUCUGGUCUGUAACUGACGCUGAGGAGCGAAAGCGCGGGGAGCGAACAGGAUUAGAUACCCGUGUAGUCCCUGUCUCUUAUAC